rnacentral:tRNA from 3 species
UGUCCGAUGGUGUAAUGGCAGCACAGCAGAUUUUGGUUCUGCUGGUUCAGGUUCGAGUCCUGGUCGGACAA